UCCACUUCUUCUCGGUUCACAU
rnacentral:siRNA from 1 species